GCCGGCAGCCAUAUCACCCUGUAGCCCAAGACUGGUUGCCCACUGAAGUUAAGCAGGGCUGAGCCUGGUCAGUACCUGGAUGGGAGACCUCCUGAGAAAACUAGGUUGCUGCUGGAA
rnacentral:rRNA from 1 species